AUUGAACGCUGGCGGCAGGCUUAACACAUGCAAGUCGAGCGAGCGGCGGACGGGUGAGUAAUGUCUGGGAAACUGCCUGAUGGCGGGGGAUACCUACUGGAAACGGUAGCUAAUACCGCAUACCAUCAGAUGUGCCCAGAUGGGCUUAGCUAGUAGGUGGGGUAAUGGCUAACCUAGGCGACGAUCCCUAGCUGGUCUGAGAGGAUGACGAGCAACACUGGAACUGAGACACGGUCCAGACGCCUAGGGGAGGCAGCAGUGUGGAAUAUUGCACAAUGGGCGCAAGCCGGAUGAAGCCAUGCCGCGUGUGGGAAGAAGGCCUUCGGGUUGUAAAGCACUUUCAGCGAGGAGGCGUUACCGACAGAAGAAGCACCGGCUAACUCCGUGCCAGCAGCCGCGGUAAUUC
rnacentral:rRNA from 1 species